rnacentral:misc_RNA from 1 species
AAUUUUAUUUCAGAAACAAGCAAUUCAUACUACUUGUGGACAGUAAACAAUACAGAAGAUUGAUUCUUUUCUAGCACUUCCUUUGAACUCCUCAUAAAGAGACAUUUUCUCUCAAUAAAUUUUCUUAUGAGAGAGAAGAGGCAGAGAGAGUUUGGAUGUAAGCAGGGCAUGGACUUCGAGUGCCAAAAAUUGUGAUAUCUGUGUCAUAGCAGAUUUCUCUUUAUUUCUACAAAGACAACGGAUAGAGAUCAUAUCCUUUACCUUCGUGUGUGUG